rnacentral:rRNA from 1 species
CCUGGGAACUGCGUUNUGAACUGGGUAGCUAGAGUAUNUCAGAGGGGGGUAGAAUUCCACGUGUAGCAGUGAAAUGCGUAGAGAUGUGGAGGAAUACCGAUGGCGAAGGCAGCCCCCCUGGGAUAAUACUGACGUUCAUGCUCGAAAGCGUGGGUAGCAAACAGGAUUAGAUACCCUGGUAGUCCACGCCCUAAACGAUGUCGAUUAGCUGUUGGGCAACUUGAUUGCUUAGUAGCGUAGCUAACGCGUGAAAUCGACCGCCUGGGGAGUACGGUCGCAAGAUUAAAACUCAAAGGAAUUGACGGGGACCCGCACAAGCGGUGGAUGAUGUGGAUUAAUUUGAUGCAACGCGAAGAACCUUACCUGGUCUUGACAUGUACGGAAGAACUCAGAGACGAGUUUGUGCCUUCGGGAGCCGUAACACAGGUGCUGCAUGGCUGUCGUCAGCUCGUGUCGUGAGAUGUUGGGUUAAGUCCCGCAACGAGCGCAACCCUUGUCAUUAGUUGCCAUCGUUUAGUUGGGCACUCUAAUGAGACUGCCGGUGACAAACCGGAGGAAGGUGGGGAUGACGUCAAGUCCUCAUGGCCCUUAUGACCAGGGCUUCACACGUCAUACAAUGGUCGGUACAGAGGGUAGCCAAGCCGCGAGGUGGAGCCAAUCCCAGAAAACCGAUCGUAGUCCGGAUUGCACUCUGCAACUCGAGUGCAUGAAGUCGGAAUCGCUAGUAAUCGCAGGUCAGCAUACUGCGGUGAAUACGUUCCCGGGUCUUGUACACACCGCCCGUCACACCAUGGGAGUGGGGGAUACCAGAA